AUAAAUCCAUUGAAGAAGAAUUGAAAUAAACGCAUAUCGUAGAGAAUGUACGGCUGGUGAAAGUACUAUAUAAAUUUAUUUCUGGACACUUUGGAGGAAUCGAACAAAAAAUUCGAUCGUACGUCGCGUUAAGACUAGAGAGUAUGCUAACAAGCAUAAAAUAAGGUGGUACCGCGUUCAAAACGUCCUUAUA
rfam:Eubacterium cylindroides T2-87 draft genome.